GCAUAUCAAUAAGCGGAGGAAAAGAAAUUAACUAAGAUUGCCCCAGUAACGGCGAGUGAAGCGGCAAGAGCCCAACAUGAAAAUCUUCGUGCUUUAGUACGACGAGUUGUACAGUAGAGGGGAGUUCCUCAACCAGCGACGGCGCAGAAGUGCCUUAGAACGGGCGGCCAUAGAGGGUGACAGCCCCGUAUGUGGUGCUAUCGCCUAACGAGGGAUUUUCCGAAGAGUCGGGUUGUUUUGUAUUGCAGCCCUAAAUGGGAGAUAAACUUCUUCUAAGGCUAAAUAUGUACGGGAAACCGAUAGCGAACAAGUACUGUGAAGGAAAGAUGAAAAGAACUUUGAAAAGAGAGUCAAAAGACUUGAAAUUGUUGAAAAGGAAGCGGUAGAAAUUUAUUCUGCGGAGGUGAACUAUCGUCGCUGUCUAACUUCUGGUGGCUGCAUGCACUUCAACGGCUGCGGCUGCCAUCAAGGGACACGGCUGCGUUGUUCUUCUCUGUGAGGCAAAAUGGAGUUACUUUCUCGCAAAAGCUUGCUAGGGCUGGCUCGUUUCGCCGGGCACCCUGGCUGUGCUGGUGAGGAAGUGGCUUGAGGGGCUACGUGCGAUUUUGCCAAAAUGGUUUUUACCGACCCGUCUUGAAACACGGACC
rnacentral:rRNA from 1 species